CUUGAUGAAGUUGCUAACAAUAAGCCCACUCUUGGACAAAAAUGUUAAAGUAGAAACUCCUCAGAAGUUAGGUGCUGAUGGCAAGAAAGGUGGUGCUGUUCGUCAAGGUACUCCUUACCCCAAGGGAGGAAAGACCCCUGCAAGUGGAGGCAAGUCAAACAAAUCUCUACUAGGGCAUUCGGUACAAUUCACAGUUGAGAACCGCAAUAGGUUUGGGUGUCUAUUAGUUUGUUCAGACACUUACUUUUUGGUGCCUAGGAAGUUUGUUUU